rnacentral:rRNA from 1 species
CCUACGGGAGGCAGCAGUGGGGGAUAUUGCACAAUGGGGGAAACCCUGAUGCAGCGACGCCGCGUGUGGGAAGACGGUCCUCUGGAUUGUAAACCACUGUCCCCAGGGACGAAGAUGACGGUACCUGGGGAGGAAGCUCCGGCUAACUACGGGCCAGCAGCCGCGGUAAUACGUAGGGAGCGAGCGUUGUCAGGAAUUACUGGGGGUAAGGGGAGAGGAGGCGGGGCUGCAAGUUGGAUGUCAAAGCGACCGGCUCACCUGGUGGUCCGACUCAAAACUGCAGCUGUUGAGUGAAGUAGAGGCAGGCUGAAAUCCUAGUGUAGCGGUGAAAAGCGUAGAUAUUAGGAGGAACACCAGUGGCGAAGGCGGCCUGCUGGGCUUUUACUGACGCUGAGGCUCGAAAGUGUGGGGAGCAAACAGGAUUAGAUACCCGAGUAGUC